rnacentral:rRNA from 1 species
AUACAGAGGGUGCGAGCGUUAAUCGGAAUUACUGGGCGUAAAGCGCGCGUAGGUGGUUAUGUAAGUCGGAUGUGAAAGCCCCGGGCUUAACCUGGGAAUUGCAUUCGAAACUGCAUGGCUAGAGUCUGAUAGAGGGAAGUGGAAUUUCCGGUGUAGCGGUGAAAUGCGUAGAUAUCGGAAGGAACACCAGUGGCGAAGGCGACUUCCUGGCCCAAUACUGACGCUGAGGUGCGAAAGCGUGGGGAGCAAACAGAAUUAGAAACCCCGGUAGUCC